CUGCAGAUUGUGAGCAACAAGAGAAGAAAUAAUCUGAAGUAACAGGGUCCCAGUGGCUAAGGACUUUUACCAUUUCUCUUGUAAUGAGAAACUGGAAAGUAAUCCCAGACCUUUCCAGGUUGAUUUGUUGCUCAUGUGACUGGAGAGAACUAUAUGCGGUUCUCAUUCCAUAGUUUGGGCUCAGUCAUUAACUAAUUGUUUGUUUCAGGUGUUGUUCUACGUAGCCGUGUGGCCUGGGUGACCCAGGUGACAUGGAACACCGGGUCAACACUCUCCCCAUCCCCUUCUGCUUGAACAAUGUUUAUUUUUCUCUUACGGUGCACUUCACAAUACAUCUGCACAUGCUGUUCUCUUUCUAGAAUGUACUGUGCUGCCUUUUGCUCUAAGUUAGUUUCUACACAGCCUUUAAGAGCCAGUGUAAAUGUCACUUUUAAAUCAGUCUUUCUUGACUCCCCCAACAAGUUAUAUUGUCAGUACCUGCUCUUUUCAUGACCAUUGUACACACAUCAAUUAUAACACAAAGUCACUUGUUUACCUUCUCUUCUCUCCAGAUAAACUGGGAACUACAUUAUGUACAGAUUACUCCUCACUGUUCUUUAAUCCCCACUACCACUGUACUGGACUCUUGCAAAUUGCCAGCACAUAAUAAGCACCUGGCAAAUGUUUGCCAAGAUAGAUGUCAUCACCAGGGGAGGCAGCUGGGCCUCACCAGUUCUUGAAAUAUCCCAAGAUAUUUCAGUUGGGGGUAUUUCAGGACGUACAGUUGACUUUCUGCGAACAAAUACCUGGCCUUAGUUGUUUUUGCUGAAUACAUAGACUAUGACUGUAUUUGAUUGGUAGAUGUCAUCUUUGUACCAGACAGCGAUCUGCUGAUCAAUCAGCCUGGUUAGAAGAAAGAGAAUGUUCUCCUUACUUGAUGAGUGAACUGUAGUUAUACCCUCCCCAGUGAAAUAGUUGCCAACUGCUUUGUACGAGCUAAUGAUUAUUGUAUGUAACACACAGGCUUAUUUAUUUAUUUAUAGCAGGGAAGGGAGGGAGAAAGAGAGGGAGGAAAACUUCAAUGCAUGGUCGCCUCUCACUGGCCCCCUAGUGGGGACCUGGCCUGAAACCCAGGCAUGUGCCCUGACUGGGUAUUGAACCAGCAAGCCUUUGAUUUGCAGGCCAGCACUCAAUCUAUCUGAGCCACACCAGUCAGGGAAUAACACACGUGCUUUUAUAAUUUAUUAAAUUAUAAUAAUUAUUACUGUUAAGAAAUAAUUUGAACUUUUAUUGCCAGGACUUUAUCAGAGGAGGACCCAACUCUAAGUAAAAUUAGAAUGCUCCCUUUAAAAAGGUAAUUAGUUCAGUCAUUUUGAAGACAGGCCAGUAGCAAACUGUACAUUUGAACUCAGGGUCGAUGUGUCAUUUAUUCUUUUGUUCCUUCCUUCUUCCUCAAACAUUUUGACAGGCCCUGUUUUAGACAUAAGGGAUACAAAGUGAAGGAACCGCAUCCUCCUACCCUCCAGUUGAUUUCUUUCUCGGGCUUUUCAUUUACAAAAAGAGAAGGAUCAAAAAAAAAUUGUAAAAAUCAUCAUCUGAAAUUUGUAAAAAAAUUCAUUAAGAGGAGAAGUUGGUAGCUGGUGAUUAGCUUUCUGUCAGUUGAGACAGAAUGCACUUGGAAGUUCCCAUGAGAUAAUAAAAGUCAUUAUUUAAUUGCCAUAAAUCCAGAUUGUCUUAACUUUUCCCUAUUAUAUUCAUAUUGUAUUAAAUGAAUAUAAGAUAAGGCCCCUGAUCUUGAGAACUUCAAGAGUGAUAUUUUUAUGAGGCUCUGAAAUUCUUUGCCAGCAUGAUGAAAAGCUAGCAUUAUUAUGCAUAUAAAGAAGUUGCAGGAAAGAAGUUUCUAAGAGUCUGACUGGCUUAGUCUAGGCCAGGGAUUCUCAAAGUGUGAUCCUUGAACUAGCAGCAUUUGUCACCUGGGAACUUGUGGAAGAGGCAAAUUCAUAGUCCCUAACCCAGGGCUACUGAGUCUGAAACUCUGGGAGCAAGGAGGGGUGGCGAUCAAUGCUUUAACAGACUGUGUGAUUCUAAUGCAUGCUCAGGUGUGAUCGAUAACCACCGCUCCCAUCUAGACCCUUAAUAUUCACAGUGUGGUCCACAGACCAGCAGCAUCAGCAUCCCCUGGGAGCUCAUUAGGAAGUGUUGGGCCCCAUUCCAGGGAUGCUGAGUCAGUAUUUGCACUUUACCAGGAUUCCCCAGUGAUGUGUAUGUACCUUCCGUUUGUGAAGCCCAGCUCAAGACAGAUUGUACCUUAAAGAGCAUUGAGCCAGGGCCAGACGAUGACUCCUCCCAUCUCAGUCAUUACAUCACUGAGGCUCGUUGACAUGUUCCGCUUCCCUAUGCACUUGUGUGUUACCAUUAUAAACUGAUGUUUUGAAAACCUGGACAGCACCAAGUUUUCUUGCAGAGCAAGUUCAGCUCCUGACCACAAAGACUGAGGGUGGUGCCACCUGAAACAUAAUUAGUUUGCCAGUUGCCAAUAGAUAGCUGUUAAAAUUGUCAGAUUUCCUCAUUCUUAAGAUAUAAUUAAGGUUUUUUGUCUGAAGCAAGGGUAAUGGAAUUUCUGACAUAAGGCCAAAAUGCAGGCAUAGGUAGAAAAACUUUUCUUCCUCACACAACCAAUUUAAAAACAACAACAACCAGAAAUGCCAGAAUAGUAAACUGUAUGGAAUUCUGACAACCAAGGAGUUAAAAUAACAUUCAUCCAGACUGGUGCAUGGAGACAAAGAAAUAUGGUCCAAAAUGAAAGAACAGAUGAAAACUCCAGAAAAAGAGCUAAGCAAUGAGGAGGUAGACAACCUAUAAGAUGCAGAGUUCAAAACACCGCGAUCAGGAUGCUCACAGAAUUGAUUGAGCUCAAUUGCAAAAUGAAGGAAGAAAUAAAAGAUACACAAAGUGAAAUAAAGGAAAUACUCAGAGAACCAACAGUGAAGGGAAGGAAACUGGGACUCAAAUUAAUGAUUUGGAACAAAAGGAAGAAAUAAAUAUCAAACCGAAACAGAAUGAAGAAACAAGAAUUAAAAAAAAAUGAAGACAGGGUUUUAAACCUCUGGGACAAAAUAGACAAGGGGAGGUUAAAAAUAGUAUAGGAAAUAGAGAAGCCAAGAACUGAUAUGUAUGACCCAUGGACGUGAACUAAAGUGGGGAAUGCUGGAGGAUGGGGGAGAGUAUUGCGAAGCGGGGAUUAAGGGGAGAAAAAAAUUGGGACAACUAUAAUAGCAAAAUCAAUAAAAUAUACUUAAAAAAAGAAUUUCCAACAUAAGUUGGUCAAGCAGACUUACAAAAUAAUGAGUAAGGGGGAAACCUUGGGAUUUCUCAGCCUGGUAUUACUUUAACAUUGGCAAGGACCAGUAGAGUCAAUCUGAUUAAUAAGGGACUGCAAUUCUUUCAUAAUGGGUUGGUAAGUGCCUGUUGUCCCCAAGCCACCCUGGCUGCCCAGCUCUUCCUUUGGGCUCUUCCUAGACAGCCCACGACGUAGCACUCAACAAUCAAAGUAUUUUUUUUUCUGGCACACUAGGGGCCCCAGGACGUUAAAUCAUGUGAUUUACAUCUCUUCUGAAUUUGUUGGUGCUCCUCCCCUAUGACUUGUUAGAUACAGUCAGUCCUCACUACUGGCAGAUUCUCCGUUUGUCAAUAUGCUUACUUGCUAAAAUUUGUGACACCCAGUCAAUACUCAUGGUUCCUUUGAAGUCAUCUGUGGACACGGGCAGAGUGUUGAAAAUCUGACUUGCCCAACAUGCAGAUUCCUGUUGAAUAAAGCGAUGCCCUGCCUUCUUGUUCCAGCUCUCAGACUGUCCCUUUCACAAUUUAUUUAGCACCGUGGUUUUUGUGUGUGUGCGUGUGGCAUUUUGUUGGUGACCCACUGUUUAAAAUGGCCCUGAAGAGUGGUGCCGAAUGCUGUCUAGUGUUCCAAGUGCAGAAGGCUGUGAUGGGCCUUAAAGAGAAAAUGCACGUGUUAGAUAAGCAUCGUUCAGGCGCGAAUUACAGUGCUGUCGGCCAUGAGCUCAAUGUAAUCCACAAUACAUAUUAGACGAGGUGCCUUUCAACAGAAACACACGUACAACAAGGUUCCGUAUCCAUUGGGUGAUGGAAAUGUGACCGGAGGCUCAGAGGGAUCCAACCCUGUCACCUCCCCUAGAAGCAGUGGUUCGAUGUUCACUAAUCCGGUGUUGGUGGCACAUGUGUGCAGCACAGCUUCUGUGAAGGAGAGUCAACUGUAUUUAGACUAUCGCCCAGUUUAUAAGUGUUUUUAAUCUAGCUUUUAAAAAUCCUUGAUAGCUUUGCUGAACAUGUAAAGAGUGCCAUCACCCUAACUUCCCCCUGGAUUGUGAGUUUUGAAGUAUUUGCUGAGUGGAAAUGGGGGAUGGGAUUGUCCAGUGCUGCAGAAAGAAAUUUCUGAAAAGGUCUGUGUGUCUUCCUCUGUGUAUUGAGAGGCAGCAUCUACUAAAUGUUUGCUGCCUAUGGUUAAUUGACUGGGGAUCUUAAAGGGGAAAACCCACGAGUCACUGAUGGAACUGUGGGGAGGGCCAGAGACCCCGUUAGAGCCCUACCCGACAGCCCUUGUAAAGUUCAUGACCCCUUGCAUGACGAACGUGAGAAGCUGUGUUCCCUGCCCUUAAGAACGCAAAGCCAUGAGCAAGACGGCCAUGUAAAACGAGUCAUUCUCACUUCGUAAUCAUAGUUAUAUUCAAACCAAUGUUGGAGAAGUGUGGGAGACUGGAGGAGAAAAUGCCUGGUUUUUCCAGGAGGUUUCACGGAGAAUGAACUAUUUAAGCUGAAUUUGAAGUAGGGAGAGCUCCUUAGGCAGAGAGAAAGAGAGGAAAGCAGAGAGAGAGAGAGAGAAAGAGAGAAACAUCGAUAGGUUGCUUCCUGCAAGUGCCCCGACUAGGAGUCAACCCCACAACCUCGCGAUCACACAGCUCAGCGUGGCCUCUCGGUAUCAGCAAUAGACCGGCAUCCCUUACAGAGCCUCUGGAUUUUCUCUUGUUCCCUGUUAUUUUCCAUCCAGUUGUUGGCCAGGCCUCCUCGAGGUACCCUGCAGCCUGGCUGAAGGAAUCCUCACGGGACACUUUGCAUGUGUCAUUCCUUGAUGUCUCCAGCCUUUUCCUUUCUUGUUCUCAUGCUGCCUCACUUCUGAGUUUGUUUCGGAGGAGCAGGAGCUGAUGUCCACAGGUCUUGACCCUGAAAGUAUGCAAAGGCUGGAGCUAUUUUUGCCAACUAAAAACCGCAAGGAGUUGUCUGUUCUGAGGAUGGAGCUGCUGGUAAGGAAGAAAUUUCUCUGGGAACGGAGAGGAAAAACCCAAGAUCUGCUGACAAGGUUGCAGCUGCUGGGCCCACUUAUGCCAGAAGCUGGACACCUCCUGCUCUUUUCAGUCAUGAUAUCCAGAAAACUGCCCGUUCGUCAUAUUUUCUGUCACCUGCAAACAGACAUUCCUUGGGAACGCACCCUGAUGCCACGCUGCUCAGGCGCUUGCAGACGCCCAGGAAGGCCGGGUGCUGCUCUUCCUGCCCAAAGCCCAGGUUUCUUACGCAUGAAGCCCCGACAUCAGAAUUCCAGUUCAUCCCUCCGCCCUGCUGUGCUGUUUCUCGCUGCAUAAAUCUAUGAUAGGAAGACAUGCCACCUGAUUAGGACACUUGGGAGAUCCUUUGUUUUCCCAAAAUGUUAGCAAAAGUGCACUGUGUCUUAAUAUUGCUUACUCUUGCUUUUACUGCCUUAAAAAAAAUCUUUUCC